rnacentral:tRNA from 1 species
UUAAUUGAAGCCAAAAAGAGGCUUAUCACUGUUAAUGAUAUUACUGAGAUUCCAAAACUCCAAUUAAG